CGAGUAGGCGGACCUGCAAGUCAGAUGUGAAAUCCCCGGGCUUAACCCGGGAACUGCAUUUGAAACUGUGGAUCUUGAGUAUCGGAGAGGUAAUCGGAAUUCCUUGUGUAGCGGUGAAAUGCGUAGAUAUAAGGAAGAACACCAGUGGCGAAGGCGGAUUACUGGACGACAACUGACGGUGAGGCGCGAAAGCGUGGGGAGCAAACA
rnacentral:rRNA from 1 species